ACUUUUUUUUAUGUACAUUUACAUUUCUUAUUAUAUAUAUAUUUUUUUAUAUUCAUUUACAUUUCUUAUUAUAUAUAAAUUUUUUUAUAUUCAUUUACAUUUCUUAUUAUAUAUAAAUUUUUUAUAUUCAUUUACAUUUCUUAUUAUAUAUAUAUAUAUAUAUUUUUUUUUUUUUUUUUUUUUUUAUACGUGUUGUAAUUUAAACGUGUUAUAAUUUAUAUUAAUAUAUAUUAUGGAAAGGAUUUAUUAAUAUAAGAAAGCAAAUCCGCUGAACUUAAGCAUAUUAUUAAGCGGAAGAAAAGAAAAUAACAAUGAUUCUUUUAGUAACGGCGAGUGAACAAAGAAAAGCUCAACAUGGAAAAUCCGACAGAUAGCUACCCGCGAUUUGUCGGAAUUGUCAAGUUGAAAAACAUUCCAAGAGUUCUUUUUUAUAAUAUGACAAUGAGAAGAAGUAGAUAGAAAUGUCUCUCCUUAGAGGGUGAAAGACCCGUAUUCUUAAUCAUAAAACUGAUCAAUUGGAAUGUUUUGUUUUUGAGUCGUGUUCUUUGAGACUGGAGCACUAAUUAGUGUGAUACAUUUCACAUAAAGCUAAAUAUUUGUAAGAAACCGAUAGUAAACAAGUACCGUGAGGGAAAGAUGAAAUAGUACUCAGGAAUGAGCAAUUAAAUAGUACCUGAAAUCGUUAAGAUGGAACGGAUUAAAAAAGGAAAAAAGUAACAACAUAGUUAAAAUGAGAGAUUUUGGUGCGCGCAAUAAAGAAUGGAGUCCUUAAAAAAGGAUGUAGAUAUUCAAGUAUCAAAACAAAAUUUUUCUUUUUUUAAAAAGAAAUUUUUUGAAGCUUUUGUUAUAAUAUUCAUUUUUAUUCUUAUCCUUUUUUUUAGGUAAGAUAAAAAUGAUACAAAAGUUGUCUUUCAUACUAUAUAUAUAUAUAUAUAUAUAUAUAUAUAUAAAUAUUAUGUUCUUAUUAAAAGAAACAUGAGUGAAUGAAAAUAAAUAAUCGUGGAGCAAAAAUAAACACAAUAACAAGAAAAAAAAAUAAAAAAAAUAAAAUAAAAUAAUUAAAAUAAAAAUAAAACAAAAAGAAACAAAAAAAAGCAAAAUAUAAAAUAAAAGAAUUAAUUGAAUUUAAUUUCAUUUUAUUUUUUUCCUUUUAUAUUUUGCUUUUUUAUUUUGUUUUAUUUUUAUUUUAAUUAUUAUUUUUUUUUUUUUUUUUUUUUUCCCUUAUUGACUAUUUUUCUAAGCUAAUGUGGAAAAAUAUAACUUGCUUCUUUUUUUUUUUUUCUUUUCUGAAGGGAGAAAAAAAAGAAAAAUAUGAAAGAUACAUUUAUUUAAUUUACUGAGGAUUGUGAAAAUUAUAUUAAUUGUAUAUGAUGCGAAAUAAUAUAAUUUAAGAUGUUUUUAUAAAGUACUUUUUUAACCCACUCGUCUUGAAACACGGACCAAGGAGUCUAACAAAUGUGCAAGUGUAUAUGAUAAGAAUAAACAUAGUAUAAAAAUUUCUACGCAUAAUUAAUGUAACAAAAAUAUAUGUUUAUUAAUUGUAGAUUUUGUGGGGUUUUAAAUUUUUUUUAUAAAUCCACACAAAUGCAUACAAUACCGGUGAGCAAUUAUGCUUUAUUGAGUAAGAGCAUACUUGUUAGGACCCGAGAGGCUUUGAACUAAACGUGAUGAGAUUGAAGUCAGAGUAAAAUCUGAUGGAGGAUCGAGUUGAUACUGACGUGCAAAUCGUUCAUUUCAAUCACGUUUAGGGGCGAAAGACUAAUCGAAAAGCCUAUUAGCUGGUUAUUUUCGAAAGAUCUCUCAGGAUCGCUGGAGUUGAUUAUAAUAUAGUUUUACCUGGUAGAAAUAAUGAUUAGAGGAUUCAAGGAGAUGAUAAUUCCUUGACCUAUAUAUAUCGAAAGAUUCAAUAGGUAAAAAAAUGAGGAAAUAACUUUAUUGUAUUUUCAUUCAUAUUUAAAAAUAAGAUAACUCCAAGUUGGCCAUUUUUGGUAAGCAGAACUGGCGAUGAGGGAUGCUCCUAACGCUUGGAUAAGGUGCCUAAAUAUCCGCUCAUUAGAUACCAUUAAAAAGGUGUUGGUUUGUGAUUACAGUAGGACGGUAUUCAUAGAAGUUGAAAUCCGCUAGGAAGUGUGUAACAACUUACCUACCUAAUAAACUCGCCCUGAAAAUGGAUGGCGCUAAAGCGGAUUACCGAUACCAAGCCAUAAAAAAGAAAAAAAAAAAAAAUUCAAUAUUUUUUUUAUUUUUUUAGAUUCUUUUUAUGAGUAGAAAAUCGUGGGGUUUUGUGUUGAAGCGAAAUACGUGAGUUUUCGUGGAACAUCUCCCUAGUGCAGAUCUUGGUGGAAGUAGCAAAUAUUCAAAUGAGAACUUUGAAGACUGAAGUGGAGAAGGGUUUUUUGUAAACUAUGUUUGAGCAAAAGUUAGCCGUUCCUAAGAGAUAGCUGAAAAGCGUUAUAAAUUGAGGUUACCUAUUAUAUGAAAAGUAUAGUAGUGUUUUUUC
rnacentral:rRNA from 1 species